ACCUGAAAAACGCCAGUGCAAAACAACUAAACAGCCGACUGAAUCAUUCUAAAUAACUGGUGGUGAGAGAGACAGAGCUUGCUUGCUGUUGAAAACUUUGCAACAGAUAUGGAGCAAAGUUAUUCACGAAGGUCUUCGAUGACUUUCUUUCUCAAAGAUGGUAAACUGGUUCACCACAGUGAAAAGUCAAUGGAUCCAGGACAAUGCCAUCUGUCCAAGGGCCGCUCUCGGCGGCUAACGUCACGGAGGCGGUCAAACAGUGUGAGCAUGUGUGUCUUACCAAGUAUCCCAGAAUAUCCAGGCUUCCAGGAUAUUAAGAGGCAUUAUACCAGAGGCAACUCUGUGCUUCAGGAUCUGGGAAGAACAGGACUGGAAAACUCUUCAAGUACAAGAGUGAUAAGCCUAAACAGAAACUUGGGCCACCAAACAGAUCGCUUUGCUAAAGGGCACUGCAAAAAGAGCUUUUUUUAUGACACAACUUUGCAAGACCACUACAAUGACAGGCUCAUGGAGUUUAGAAGUUACAGCACCAAAAAGUCAAAUGGAAAAGGAAACGAGAACCAGAAACCCAGUUUCACCAGCCAGGGACUAAGGCGGAGAAACAGCUGUGGGGCCAGGUUGCAAGAUAUCCUCAGGAGGUUGUCUGAAGACUCCUGCGAUUCAGACCAGAUCGCCGAAAGCAUGCCAACUUGUUCAGAGGAUGAAGGCACCAAUCUGGAAAGCUGUAAGAAGACCUAUUUGGAAAGUUUGACUCUGAGCAUCAAUGCUCCCCUGGAAAUGCUUGUGCGGAGGGAAUAACUACACACUUUCACAGACAUUAAUGAACUAAUUCUUCAGAAAGAAGAAUUGAUACCCAGUAACCUUUGUUAAUAUUCAGGAGGCAUACCUAAAUAUGACAUUUCUCAUGGUGCGUGAUACACAAGAUGCUUAGAUAAUGCAUGGCAGUACUGUCUGCUAUGAUCAAUAUUCAACUACACUCUGAAACUAUACAUGCAAGGACUUCAGUGUUGGUUGCAUUCUGUCCAGAUUUCUUAGAUGGCAGCUGUAUUUCUCAUUCUAAACUCUUAUUUGAAUAACUUGAUCUCACUAUUUUGAGUAGUUCAAAUAACUGUAUUUCUCAUUUACCGUACGAGUUUAUAUUUGUUUUUAUAGAUGUGUUUUCCUUGGUGCUAUCAGUCGGAAAUAAACUCUGAAACAUGUAUUAGACACUUAAGAAGUUUUUCAAAUGGCAAGCCUUGGCACAACAUUGCAAUUUGCAUUCUGAAUAUGAUUUCCUUUAAGCCCAGAAUUACAAAUGUAGAUUUUUCAAACCUUAGAUAUUUCAGGCUUUAGGCUUCACACCAGUGGUUCUCAACCUGGGGUCCCCAGAUGUUUUUGGCCUUCAACUCCCAGAAAUCCUAG
rnacentral:lncRNA from 11 species